CUAAGGCCGAUGGCGACCGGCGCACGGGUGAGUAACACGUAUCCAACCUGCCGUCUACUCUUGGACAGCCUUCUGAAAGGAAGAUUAAUACAAGAUGGCAUCAUGAGUCCGCAUGUUCACAUGAUUAAAGGUAUUCCGGUAGACGAUGGGGAUGCGUUCCAUUAGAUAGUAGGCGGGGUAACGGCCCACCUAGUCUUCGAUGGAUAGGGGUUCUGAGAGGAAGGUCCCCCACAUUGGAACUGAGACACGGUCCAAACUCCUACGGGAGGCAGCAGUGAGGAAUAUUGGUCAAUGGGCGAGAGCCUGAACCAGCCAAGUAGCGUGAAGGAUGACUGCCCUAUGGGUUGUAAACUUCUUUUAUAAAGGAAUAAAGUCGGGUAUGGAUACCCGUUUGCAUGUACUUUAUGAAUAAGGAUCGGCUAACUCCGUGCCAGCAGCCGCGGUAAUACGGAGGAUCCGAGCGUUAUCCGGAUUUAUUGGGUUUAAAGGGAGCGUAGAUGGAUGUUUAAGUCAGUUGUGAAAGUUUGCGGCUCAACCGUAAAAUUGCAGUUGAUACUGGAUAUCUUGAGUGCAGUUGAGGCAGGCGGAAUUCGUGGUGUAGCGGUGAAAUGCUUAGAUAUCACGAAGAACUCCGAUUGCGAAGGCAGCCUGCUAAGCUGCA
rnacentral:rRNA from 1 species